GAAGGAGCAACCGGGGCCUCGUUUACACGUCUCAGGGAGCACACGAGACGCUUCUCAUCUCUGCACGGUUCUGAUGCUUCUCGGUUACCGUGCGUGUUUCUGGGUAUGACAUUCAAGUAGGGCCCAGGAGAUCUGGAGAUGCCUGCCUCUGCGGAGGUUCCUCACCUCUCUCCUCUCACCUGGCGCUGUUCUACCUGCUGGGGCCACGCUGCAGGGUCGUGGUGGGGAUGGACAGAGAAGAAGGCAGAGUGCGCUCUCCAAGGAAGAGCACAGGCCUUGCGGCAGCCACCUGCCCCCCCCCAGCGAAGUCCGUGCACCCCAGAAACCGGAGAUGCUGGGCCUGGGCAGGGCGUCCCCUGCUGACCUUGGGCACUGCCCGCCAUGGCUCCUCCAUCCGAUCGGCCCUGCCCUGCCCGCCCCAAGCCCGUAGGCCUAAACGGAGGGCCCAUCCUCACCCAGGGCCCAGUGACUGAGCCUGCCCCGUGGUCGGCCUGCCAGGAGGGGGCAGCCCGGGGCGUGUGCCAUUUGGAGUGGGAGUUCAGGUGCCACGUGGACGCACGCGGACACUUGAACCACGUCCAGCGGCAGCCCGUCAGACUUGUGGCUGGUGGGACCGCCCAGAGUAGGCACUGGCACAGCGUGGAGGGCCCUCGAAGCCAGAGUGGAGCCAGCCCGGCGGCCCUGGUCUGACCCGGAGCGCCUCUGAGUGGACAGGGGCCGCAGUCCUGCACGGAGCCCAUGUGCUGCUCGGGCCGCAUCAGGGUGCCCCGCCGUGUCUCCAGGAGGUAGCUGCGGGCCUGGGUCUCUGAGUUCGGCCCUCACAGUGUGCUCUGGCCUCCAUCCGGCUCUCGGGCUCCGCCCGGCCAGUCCUGGGUGAUGGCUUCUCUGCACGUGAGGCAGCUCCUCCCCGGGAACGUGUCAGCCGUGGCUCUGCACCCUCCGCAGAAGAGGCAGUCCAGUGGUUUGGACUCACGCUUCAGCACAUUGCCUGCGAAGGCCCGGGUUCAGUCCCUGGUCAGAGACCCAAGGUCCUGUGGGCUGCAUGCCACCCACCACCCCCCCACGGAAGAAGAGAGACACAGAGGCACGUUCUCGCCCCAGCACUACGGCCGUGGAGGGAGUGAGCGGUCAUCCUCGUGGCAUUUAGCGGCCAAGCUGCAGUCCGGUUUCCCCACUCGGGACAUUGACUUUUUGAAGAGACUAGGCCAGUUGUCUUGCAGAAAUGUCCCUGUGUUCUGGGUCUGUUUGCCAUUUUCUGCUUUGCUGUUAACAGUUGGCCCUUGAACAACACGGCGGGCAGUUGGGGGCCGCCCUCCGCAGGCUCGGCCGUCUGAGGAUAAGUUGCAGCUGGCCCCCGAGGCCCGGCUACUCCCACCCGCGGGCGCCACCCGCCGGGGACCCUGCGUCUUCAGGCGGCGGUGCUGGGCGUCCUGUGCGCCGCCCUGACUGUCCUGUCGGGAGGGGCCCCGCUCUGUCGGGCUGUUCCUCCCCCUGCCUUUCACGUGCGUUUCCCUCGCCUGUGACACGCGAGGAAGGCGGGACGCUGCGUCUUCUCCCCUCAUCACCCCUUUCCGGAGGCAGGGACUGCAGCAUCCCCCCUCCGCGGGAGAUGUUUUCAUUUUUCCUUUGAUUCUUUGAGUAUCAGUGCAGACUAGCAGAUUUAUCAGUUACCUCGUAGUCCGCUGAAAUCUCCUCUCUUUGUCAUAGCGCUCAGAUUGUCAUGGCCUACUUGUGGGAGCCCCGCAGAGCUGGCUCCUGGCACGUCCUGGCGGCAUGUCCGUUCUGCAGCCGUGCUCUCCAUUUGCAGAGCUGCAGGUGGCUCCUUCUGUGGGCGCUGUGGUCCCCUCCCGGCAGGAGGGUGUUUAGAAACCAGAAUCCAGGGCCCAG
rnacentral:lncRNA from 1 species